rnacentral:rRNA from 1 species
AGUGAACGCUGGCGGUAGGCCUAACACAUGCAAGUCGAACGGCAGCACAGUAAGAGCUUGCUCUUACGGGUGGCGAGUGGCGGACGGGUGAGGAAUACAUCGGAAUCUACUUUUUCGUGGGGGAUAACGUAGGGAAACUUACGCUAAUACCGCAUACGACCUACGGGUGAAAGCAGGGGAUCUUCGGACCUUGCGCGAUUGAAUGAGCCGAUGUCGGAUUAGCUAGUUGGCGGGGUAAAGGCCCACCAAGGCGACGAUCCGUAACUGGUCUGAGAGGAUGAUCAGCCACACUGGAACUGAGACACGGUCCAGACUCCUACGGGAGGCAGCAGUGGGGAAUAUUGGACAAUGGGCGCAAGCCUGAUCCAGCCAUACCGCGUGGGUGAAGAAGGCCUUCGGGUUGUAAAGCCCUUUUGUUGGGAAAGAAAAGCAGCGGGUUAAUACCCCGCUGUUCUGACGGUACCCAAAGAAUAAGCACCGGCUAACUUCGUG